AACGCACAUUGCGCCCCUGGGUAUUCCUGGGGGCAUGCCUGUUCGAGCGUCAUUUCAACCCUCAAGCUCAGCUUGGUCUUGGGCCAUGCCGGAAACGGCCGGCCUUAAAACUAGUGGCGGUGCCGCCGGGCUCUACGCGUAGUAACUACAUCUCGCGUCUGGGUCCCGGUCGACGCUGGCCAGCAACCCUCAAUUUUUUCUGGUUGACCUCGGAUCAGGUAGGGAUACCCGCUGAACUUAA
rnacentral:misc_RNA from 1 species